rnacentral:rRNA from 1 species
UACAGAGGGUGCUAGCGUUAAUCGGAUUUACUGGGCGUAAAGCGUGUGUAGGCGGUUCGUUAAGUCGGAUGUGAAAGCCCUGGGCUCAACCUAGGAAUUGCAUUCGAUACUGGCGGGCUAGAGUACGGUAGAGGGCGGCGGAAUUCCGGGUGUAGCGGUGAAAUGCGUAGAUAUCCGGAGGAACACCGAUGGCGAAGGCAACCGCCUGGGCCUGUACUGACGCUGAGACACGAAAGCGUGGGGAG